GGCUUCGUAGCUCAGCUGGCAGAGCGCUUGCCGCGUAGAGGCAUGGUUUUUCUGUCGCUGGUUCAAACCCAGCCGAAGCUC
rnacentral:tRNA from 1 species